CCUACGGGAGGCUGCAGUAGGGAAUCUUUCACAAUGGGCGAAAGCCUGAUGGAGCAACGCCGCGUGCAGGAUGAAGGCCUUCGGGUUGUAAACUGCUUUUAUAAGCGAGAAAUAUGAUGGUAACUUAUGAAUAAGGAUCGGCUAACUACGUGCCAGCAGCCGCGGUCAUACGUAGGAUCCGAGCAUUAUCCGGAGUGACUGGGUGUAAAGAGUUGCGUAGGUGGCAUAAUAAGUAGCUAGUGAAAUCGGGUGGCUCAACCAUUCAGACUAUUAGCUAAACUGUUAAGCUCGAGACCGUUAGGGGUAACUGGAAUGUCUAGUGUAGGAGUGAAAUCCGUAGAUAUUAGAAGGAACACCAAUAGCGUAGGCAGGUUACUGGGACGGUUCUGACACUAAGGCACGAAAGCGUAGGGAGCAAACGGGAUUAGAUACCCCAGUAGUC
rnacentral:rRNA from 1 species